CUACGUCAUCCCCUGCAUGUCAAGCCCAGGUAAGGUUCUUCGCGUUGCGUCGAAUUAAACCACAUGCUCCACCGCUUGUGCGGGCCCCCGUCAAUUCCUUUGAGUUUCAACCUUGCGGCCGUACUCCCCAGGCGGUCAACUUCACGCGUUAGCUUCGUUACUGAGUCAGUGAAGACCCAACAACCAGUUGACAUCGUUUAGGGCGUGGACUAC
rnacentral:misc_RNA from 1 species